rnacentral:rRNA from 1 species
UACGAAGGGGGCUAGCGUUGCUCGGAAUUACUGGGCGUAAAGCGCACGUAGGCGGAUUUGUAAGUCAGGGGUGAAAUCCCGGGGCUCAACCUCGGAACUGCCUUUGAUACUGCAAAUCUCGAGUCCGAUAGAGGUGGGUGGAAUUCCUAGUGUAGAGGUGAAAAUUCGUAGAUAUUAGGAAGAACACCGGUGGCGAAGGCG